rnacentral:misc_RNA from 1 species
AAGGAUCAUUAUCGAAUAUAAACUUGGAUGGACUGUUGCUGGCUUUUCUUUGAGAGGCAUGUGCACGUUUAUCCUCUUUAUUUUUCCACCUGUGCACCUUUUGUAGGCUUGGAUUAUCAGUGGUUCUAACAUGUCUUUCAAAGGCAUAAGAAUUGUUUUGGGGCUGCUGUGUUUAAACACAUGUUUAUCGGCUUUCCCUUUUAUUUUCCAAGUCUAUGUUUGCUUUAUACACUCCAGAAAUGUAAUAGAAUGCUGUACUUUAGGUCAUUUGUACCUAUAAUAAAAUCAGUACAACUUUCAGCAACGGAUCUCUUGGCUCUC